AGCGAACGCUGGCGGCAGGCCUAACACAUGCAAGUCGAGCGCCGUAGCAAUACGGAGCGGCAGACGGGUGAGUAACGCGUGGGAACGUGCCCUUUAGUUCGGAAUAACCCAGGGAAACUUGGGCUAAUACCGGAUACGCCCUUCGGGGGAAAGAUUUAUCGCUAAAGGAUCGGCCCGCGUAAGAUUAGCUAGUUGGUGAGGUAACGGCUCACCAAGGCUAUGAUCUUUAGCUGUUCUGAGAGGAAGAUCAGCCACACUGGGACUGAGACACGGCCCAGACUCCUACGGGAGGCAGCAGUGGGGAAUAUUGGACAAUGGGCGCAAGCCUGAUCCAGCCAUGCCGCGUGAGUGAUGAAGGCCUUAGGGUUGUAAGGCUCUUUUACCAGGGAAGAUAAUGACGGUACCUGGAGAAUAAGCCCCGGCUAACUUCGUGCCAGCCGCCGCGGUAA
rnacentral:rRNA from 1 species